rnacentral:lncRNA from 1 species
CAAUGUGUCCGAUAAUGCUUAUGCACGGGUGCCCGAUGAGAGAGAAAAAUAUCCGGCGCUCGCACGUCUCAUUCCACGUCACUUGGCUCCCCACACCUCGCUCGGCUCGCCUCCUCUCCCCCGUUCGGCGCCGCCUCCUCUCCCACGAGCUCUCUCGCUUGCGCCGCCGUCUCUCCCCAGCCGACCUCACCCGCACAGUCUCCUCUCCCGUCAAUCUCGCCAGCGUCGUUUUCUCCGUUGGAUCUGCCGCCGCUUUUUGUCUUCCUGGACGUUGACGGCGGCUUCGUCCCCGUGGUGGCGGCCGACGCGGAGGACGACACACGUGCGGUGAGGUGAUGGCGGCGGCGGUGGUGGUGUAGGCUCGCCGGCUCCCUCUCUCCCCCAGGAGCACUCUCUCCUCAUCUCCGCCGCCCUCCCCCUUCUCCUCCUACAGAUCCGAUGAUGGGAGUGGUGGAGAAGACCUACGCGAGCAAGCCUGUGUUCAUCGGAGAGAAGGAAGAUGCAGUCCAUACUAGGUUCUGUGUGUUUUUUUUUCUGUGUUUCAAGCUAGUAUACUCGUGAUGUUCUUUUGUGUUUGGAUCAAAUGUCAGUGGAUAUUUCGAUAGUGUUCUAUAUUUCUAUUUUCGACACACAGGUUUUGUUGAUGUUUCAAUGGUUCAAAAACAAUGUUUCAGUUAGUGUACUUGUGAUGUUUCUUUGUGUGUGUGUAUCAAAUGUUUGAAGUGGAUUUUAGAUAGUGUUUAAUAUUUUCAAAUACACGGGGUUUGUUUUGAUGUAUACAAGGUUUAAGUGUUUCAAUGACUUAAAUCGUUUAUUGUAUAUAUUGAAUUAAAUUGUUUCAUCUAACUAUCUCACUAUGUUUCACUUUUUUUUAAGAACUGUAACAUUUUUUUUCUAAGUGCUGAAACAUCUAUUAUAUAAUUAAAGGAAUAGAAAAAGGAGCCUCCACGUUCGCUCUCAUGGCCUAGAAAUUCUCACAUUAAUCGGAGAAAAAGAAAAAACAGAGUCCAUAUAGAAAUACAAUUUACAAAUAGCUGAAAUUCGGAAUUAAAAAUAAGGAAUAUUAGAAGAGGGGACUAGAGUCCAUAUAGAAAUACAAUUUACAAAUAGCUGAAAUUCGGAAUUAAAAAAUAAGGAAUAUUAGAAGAGGAGACUAGAGUCCAUAUAGAAAUACAAUUAGAAAAUACCUGAAAUUCGGAAUUAAAAAUAAGAAAUAUUAGAAGUAGAGUAUAGACUCCAUAUAGAAAUACAAUUAGGAAAUAACUGAAAUUCGGAAUUAAAAAUAAGGAAUAUUAGAAGUAGACUAUAUAAUCCAUAUAGAAAUACAAUUAGGAAAAAAUAGAAAUUCAGAAUUAAAUAUAUAAUUUAAGGAAUAGAAAAAGGAGCCUCCACGUUCGCUCUCAUGGCCUAGAAAUUCUCACAUUAAUCGGAGAAAAAGAAAAUACAGAGUCCAUAUAGAAAUACAAUUUAAAAAUAGCUGAAAUUCGGAAUUAAAAAUAAGAAAUAUUAGAAGAGGAGACUAGAGUCCAUAUAGAAAUACAAUUUACAAAGAAAUUUGGAAUUAAAUAUAUAAUUAAAGGAAUAGAAAAAGGAACCUCCAAGUUCGCUCUCAUGGCCUAGAAAUUCUCACAUUAAUCGGAGAAAAAGAAAAGACAGAGUCCAUAUAGAAAUACAAUUUAAAAAUAGCUGAAAUUCGGAAUUAAAAAAUAAGGAAUAUUAGAAGAGGAGACUAGAGUCCAUAUAGAAAUACAAUUUAGAAAUAGUUGAAAUUCAGAAUUAAAAAAAGGAAUAUUAGAAGAGGAGACUAGAAUCUGUCUAUAUAGAAAUACAAUUAGGAAAUAACUGAAAUUCGGAAUGAAAAAAAGGAAUAUUAGAAGAGGAGACUAGAGUCCAUAUAGAAAUACAAUUAGGAAAUAACUGAAAUUCAGAAUUAAAAAAAAAGAAAUAUUAGAAGUAGAGUAUAGAGUUCAUAUAGAAAUACAAUUAGGAAAUAACUGAAAUUCGGAAUUAAAAAUAAGGAAUAUUAGAAGUAGAGUAUAGAGUACAUAUAGAAAUACAAUUAGGAAAUAAUAUAAAUUCGGAAUUAAAAAUAAGGAAUAUUAGAAGUAAAGUAUAGAGUAUAUAUAGAAAUACAAUUUAGAAAAAAAAAUAGAAAUUCGGAAUUAAAAAAAUAAGGAAUAUUAGAAGUAGAGUAUAGAGUCCAUAUAGGAAUUUAAAACUAACUAAAAUUUGGAAUAAACAUAAUAAAAUUAAAAGUAGAGUUUAGAGUCUGUAUAAAAAUACAAUUUACAAAUAACUAAAAUUCAAAAUUAAGAAAAACAUUGGAAGAAGAAUUUAAGGUCAAUAUAGGAAUACAAAUAUUGGAAUAUAAUUUAGAAGCAACUGAAAUUCGAAAUUAAAAAUUAAAGAAUAUUGAAAGAUGAGUUUAGAGUCCACAUAGAAAUACAAUUAGAAAUAAUAAAAAUUCAUAAAUAAAAAUGAAUUAAAAAAAGAAAUAUUAAAAGACGAGUCUAGAGUCCAUAUAGGAAUAUAUAUAAUUUACAAAUAACUAAAAUUUGAUAUUAAAAAUAAUUAAUAACUAACACGUAUAUAAAAUAUAAUAUAAAUAUUACACAUUAGUAGUUUUGUAAAGUUAUUGUAAAAUUUAAAAUUAUGUUGUCAUUUUAAUAUAUUUGAAUAAUAUAAUGAGAAAACAUAUAUGCUAUUAUAUGAGAGAAAAUAUAAUGAUGCUAGCCGCGCAAUCUGCGCGGGCCACUAUGCUUGUUAUUUUUAUAAAGGGUGAAACAAUGUCCAAUUUUAAAUCGGGCGUCCGAAUUUGUAGACGGCUAGGCGCCUCCCAGUACGUUGCGUAGGAUGAAACCAUCGUUCAGGCCGGUUAGGAGGCAAAACGAAUCGGUUUGGUAGUUGAGGGAUACAUAUCAGACUCGUCUUAUUCCAUAUUUUUACUAGUAUGGGGUGGGAGUGGAAGAACUCGAAAGGCCCAUAACUCAGGGACUAGCUAGUAGAACAAGGAGGAAAGGAGGCCACCUUUUUACUCAGCCUUACUGUUGAAGUGUCGAUGAAAAACUGAAAACAUAGAUAAGUCCAGCAAGCAAGUGGUUAGCCUCUUAAAACGUGUCGACGAUGAUGUAUCACGUCACGUACGUUCUCGUGCAGAUCAAAAGGGGAGGCUAGCAUACACGGCCUCGGCCUGUACAAGUUGUACUCUACGGAGACAGCGACCUCAGCCCUCCGAGACGCAAAAUGGGACGGGUCAAUUCACCCAAAAGUUGGAAUACUUGGGGAAAUGUCAAGGGCUGUGCUCUCUUAAAAAAAAACCAUCAAUAAGCUUAAAGCCAACGGAUCGAUUAUACGUCAAGCAUCACGUAAGUUUGAUGGUACUUCCUCCGUUUCACAAUAUCAUUCUAACAUUAUAUAUAUAUAUAUAUAUAUUGAUGUUAAUAAAUUUUAGAUAUAACAUCAAUAUAAAUGUGAAAAAUAUUAGAAUUACUUAUAUUGUGAUACGGACAGAGUAGUAACAAAGGUGAACGUCUGAUUACGGCUUCCCUGCCGCAUUACCAAAAUGGAAGAGAGUGGCGCCAAAACACGACACCAGCUUGCUUAAUUAUACUACUAACUCCCAAAAGAUUAAAGAAAUAGAGGGAAAAAAAUCGACCGGUAGAUUGCCGGAUUGUUAUCUGACAAAUCUCCCAACGGGAGAUAUUUUACUCCCGUGUACGGAUACUUCGAGUAGCACCACCGCUGUGUGCACCUCUCAAUAAACAAUACCCAUGACAUGCAGGGAGGGAGCCGAAAGAAUGUCCCAGUACUCGUACAAGAAACAUCUCGACUCACUCUGUCCUUUUUUUCCCCUUUUCCAAAACGAAAUCGAGAGGGGGAAACACAUCCACCCGCAAGAUUUUUUUCGAUGGACCACCAGAUGGCCUCUUUUCCAAACUGCUACAGUACUAAACUACGUCUACAAACAAUCUGCCAUGCACGAGAUGCCCCGGCUCGCAUGAUCGCCCCCCCGACCGGCCAUUCCGGAUUCCCAUCUCUCCGGAGCCAGCAAAAAUCGCCGAAAAAAUCCUCUGGUCCAGGCGACCCGGCAGGCCCAGCAGCAACCGCAACUUUGCUCGCCGGAAAAGGCGCCCGGCCCACCAGCCACGAGCGGGGCAAUCCCACGACACCACCACACAAGCGCGAUCGUGCGAUCGUCCAAUCCAACGGCGUCUUGUUAGCGAGCGUUGAAGGCGGCAGCGGCGUAUCGUUUUCGGUCGUACGGCUGCAAAAGAGCACUCCAGAACACCUCCAGUGCACAUCCAUCGCCCACACGAUCUUGACGCGCGCGCGCGCGCACAAAACACACAAAAAUAAACGUCAAUUUGCAAUCGUCAAGAGUAGAGAGAGUCGCUAGAAACAUCAACUGAUGGCAACAUCCACACGGCGUCGAGGAAAAGAAACCAUUUCUAAUUGCUGCAAGAUGCCAAAAGAUGCCAGCCCGAGAGGCAGAGAUCACUAGAGACACAUCAAUAGUAGCACCAGUAGUGUAACAAAUUGGGAAUACACUGUGGGAGUAGGACAGGGACAAUGACACAGGAAGGCAGAAGAGGACGCAUGAUGAACACAUCAACAAGAGAGUGAAAUUCAGGACGAAAUGUCGACAAGAUAUUGGAAUCUUUGGCCACGCACGCACCAAUUCUUGGGUGACGCGGCCGGAAUCGAACGGCACACCCGACCCAACCCAACCCAGCGAACUAAACGGAGUCAAUCAUCUGAUGACCUAAAAAAAAGGGAAACAAAUUCUGCCAAAUUUUAUUGGUUUUUCUUUCCCGUUUGCUUCCUCUCUUCUUCUGCUUGUCUCUCUUUUCAUCACUUAGAGGCGUGUGCACGUCUCGUACACCGGCGCGCCGGUCACCUGCGCGACUGCGCCGGGUAGGGCGCGACGCGCGUCCUCCGUGUGCCGUCCGACGGCACGCGGCCACCGACGCCGCCGCCGCGGCUUCCGCCGUCGCCGCUGACGAUGUCUUGCAGCAUCUUCUGCAGGUCCUCGAGUGUGUCCGGCUUCUGCACGCGGCGAGAUCACCGGUCAUCGCUUAAGUAUGAUAACUAAGCCUUUUUUUAAAGGUGAUAAUUGUGGCGAUUACGAUACGAAUUGGUAGAGAAAGUGGUUGCGUGCUCAAUUGCGCCUACCUCGUUUUUCACGUUAUCCAUCAUCACCAGCAUCUCCUGCAUGAAAUCGGAGAAAUCCUGGCCGUCGAAAAACAGGGCAGAAUUUUAAUAAAGAAUAUUAUAUACUAAUAUAUUUUAUUGCACUAUUAGCCCCAAAUUUUUUUUUAAAAAAGAAUGAUAAUAUUGGUUGCUACGCAAGAAAAAAAAUAAUCGAGGUUUCACCUGGUCGUCGUCGUCGAGGGGAUCGAACAGCCCGGCGUCGUACAUGGCUCGCUUCCCCUUGUCGGACAGAACUGCAGCAACCGCGCAAAAAAGGAUUUCGUUCGAUCAUACACGUAGCGAGCGCAAACUGGGGGCGGCCGAGCGGGUGAGCCUUACCGGAGUACGCCUCUUGGAUCCGCUGGAACCGCCGAUUGGCCUCGCCGGGGUCGCUCACGCACCGGUCCGGGUGCCACUUCUGCGCGCGCAAAAAAAAGGAUCCAAUUCACAACACAAUCCAUCACCUACGCGCGCCGGCGCGGGCGCGGGCGCGGGCGCGGCCGACGGGGGAGAAGAGAGCGGAGGCGGGGGACGUACCAUGGCGAGCCUCCGGUAGGCGGCGCGCACGUCGGUGGCGGACGCGUUCUUCCGGAUGCCGAGCAGGGAGUAGUAGCAGCACGCGGACGCGCCGGCGCCGGCGCCACCGGAGGCAUUGCCGGAUCCGGCGGAGGCGUCCAUGGGGGUGCGGUGGCGGGGGCGGCGAGCGAAUCCGCGCGGCGAGGAGGGCGGGGCGAUGCGAAUUGCUACCGCGGCUGCAUCGAAUUGGGAGGGAGAGGGGAGAGGAGAUGGGUUUGAAGGGCGCUUGGAAAAAGAAAAAAAAAGGUUAUUAUUCCGCGAGGAGGAGACGGAUGCGUGGGAAAAUAUCUAAAUAGAGUUUUUGGUCGUCGGGGGUUGGGGCCAGGUGAAGGUUCGAGAGCUCGUGCCGAUGCGAGAUAUUUUCGACGCCCGUUUCGGGCUUCGCCCUCGGGGUUCGCGAGUAUUUACGAGUUUGGGAUUCUCUCUCGCGGCGCGUCUGCCUUCUAGAGCCGUGAAUUACGCUGCGUGGGCUUUGAAGAUUUGGGCUCGUCGGGGCAUUAGGCCCAUUUUCCCUCGGUUCAGGCCUUCAGGAUAAAAUUGGUUGUGGGCCUUUGCUACCAGCUGAGGCUCAUUUUGAAAGAGGAUAUAUAAAGGACUUUUUAAAUUAAAAAAUGGAUCUUAAAGGAUAUUUUUUUUUCCUAAAUAGUUCUUUGGAACAAAGGAUUUGAUACCAUUGAAUUUUAUGAGUUUCCUUUGGAAUAGGUCCAAAGUUAGCAUGAAGUUCAACCUCUUGGAAAGUCUCUUUUCAUCCAAUUCGUAUGUUUUCAUUCGGUCCGUCCAAAUGGUUUCCCUUAUGUUUUGCUUUUUUUUUUUGUAUAGGCAUUCUUGCCAACAUCAUGUGUUUUACCAUCGUUGUGUGAUUGUGUCUGUGAUAGCUAACAGUUACGAACACCAUGAUUCUUUUAAGAAAAAAAAUCAUGUGUUAUACCAUCCCUAUUGUUUCAAAGAGGGUUAAAUAGCUCGCAGUUCUACAUAAAAGUAUGGUGAAACAACUUGUAAUGAAAAGCAUUCCCAAUAAGCAUGAUCAACAGGCCUGGGAAGCAUGAUAGAGAUCUGCAAGUUAAGAGUAGUAUGAUAAUUCAAUGAGCUAUGCCUGGCUAGGCAUGGUUGAAAAAAAAUCCUAUGUGUUUGGAAUGAUACAGGCGGCAGGGAAAAGAGUACAACUAAGAAAAUAAUACGUACUGAGAGGAUUAGUUCCAUACUCAGUACGUACUUGUAUGGAAUAAAUUAGCCUCAAUCUCCAUGUGAGGGUUUAACCGAAAGACCUUACAGUCUUUACAGUCUUACAUAUGCUAACCCGCGAAACAAUGUCCACUUACAUCCCAAGUUCAGAGUACAAGCAAAAAUAUCCAAAUCUGAACCAGAACACUUGAUUAAUCCACAGAACAUAAGGUGUGAGAAUCUUCACAAUGUGGGAAGAUCACAUAUCCAACUCCAGAAUAGAUGGAACAGAAUUUAUAUCACAUCUCCUAUUCACUGUUACAGUUAAUUACUCCAUAACCAUUGUAAACUGUGAAUGACAUCGAUAUUCAAUGUCAGUCAUCAAACUCCCAUGACCAUUGCAAACAGCCCACCUUCCUCCAGCGAUAUUCAAUGUCAGUUAUCAAGUGGAGUACUUGUAGAACAAUAUACUUCAUCCGUCCUAAAAAUAAACGAAUCUAUAGAUAUGAUGUGAUAUUUUAUAAUAUAACAAAUUUUAAGAUAUCUUUGUACAAAUUUGUUGUACUAGAAAAUAUAACAUCAUAUUUAAGAUUAAUUUAUUUUGGGACGAAGGGAGUACACCGUUGAAUAUUUUCAAACCAAAAUAACGAAAUGCGUGAGAGUUGAUAGUAAAUAUAGUUUGAAGCUAAGCCUCUUGCAGUGAAUUGUACCAAAAUUAUCACAAGAAAAAUUAGCCAGCCACAUGGGGAACCAGCUACUCCUACAACAGUAGGAAGGAUUGAUACAUUAUUCAGGCAUUAGGCUCCGGACACCUAGGAUCAUAAUUCCUCCGAAAUUGAAGAAAUCCAUCUCUAAACAAUUAAAUCGGAACAGCACAAUCAUCAAGUUACGCAAUAUUCGGACCUGCAUAUAGCAUUCGAAGAUUAUUAGAAAGCAAGGGAACUAUUAAGCAUGGUUUGAUUUUGACCGAAACAUCAGAGAACCAGAUGAUCUUUGACAGUUUCACGGAAGUAGGCACUGCCCCGCUCAAAGGAACAUUUUUUUUUUAAGAUAACCGGCAUCUACACCCAAAGGAUGUGCACAGCUCAAAGGAACAUGCAUGAAAAUAAAUAUAGAAUAUAUAAUGAUCCGACCUGCCUAAGAUAAUUGCGAUAUAAAAACCUAUAGAAACAGGAGAGCUAAACAUAAAGAUCACCUAAUUAAAGUUUGGCAUUAAGCAAAAGCAAUUACUCAACCCCAGAAUUGCCAUUCAAAGAGAUAAAUGAAAAUUCGCAUCUAACCAACUAACCAAGAUCUUCAGAAGCAACGCAUAACUGAAUCCCAAAAAUCCUAAGGACCUUCUUCAGACUGAGCACCACAAUCGAACCAAAGACCAUCGACAUGCUAGAAAUAACUGAAUCCCAAAAUUCCCAAGGACCUUCCUCAAACUAAUCAGCAUAAUCGAACCAAAGACCAUCGACAUGAUAAAAACAACACAGUAGCACUACUCCCACAGUUCACCGGAGCAAAUCGACAGAGGCCGGCAUCUCAUUCUUUAUACGGGUCCCUCUGAGCUCUCUGCAUUUCCAAGUUAUACAACGCCUCUUGCACCAGAGCCGAUUGGGCAGCAGCAUCCACGGUAGCAGGAGUUUGCUGCCACAUCCUAUCUCUGAUCUCUUCUCGCAGGCCUCUUAUGAAUAAUGCCACGUCGAAGCAGUUGCUGGAGACUGGAUCGAACAGCUUGGCAUGGUACAAGCGCUCCUCGAACUGGUCUCUGUACUCGCUCACUGUCAUGAUCCCCUCCUGCCUCAGAUCCAAGAGUGCCGUGAGCUUCUGCUUGUGAUCAUAGGGCCCAAAUCUCUCCUCCACGGCCUCACAGAACCGACCCCAAUCACGCUCAUGGCGCUUCUCAUAGGUCAUCAUCCACAGCUCAGCCAUCCCCUCCAUGUGCAUCGAAGCCCAGGAAACCCACAUCUUCAUUGGCAUGCCGUAGAACUCGAAGUAGCGCGUGCACUUGGUGAUCCACAGGCGCGGGAACGUCCCGCUGAAAGUGGGGAACUUCAGCUUCGCCAGACGAAAGAACCCUCCCGAGUAGCCGUCGAUCCUGGCGGCGCGCGACGCCGCCGCCGCCGCCUGCUCCUUCUUCACGUCCUCCACCAGCGCCGCCGCAACGGCGAUCUGCUUGGACAGCUCCUCGAGGCGAUGUUGGUGCCCCUCGACCACCUGGCUGAGCAAGGGCAGCGCCUUCAGCUGCUCCGCGAUGCGGUCCAGCUUCGCCUCCAUCUUGCCGUCGGGGAGAACCGUAGGUUGCUGCGGCCCAGAAAUUUCGAGACAAAUCAGGUCCGAUGAGGUCGGAGGCGUCCGCGAACGAGACAAAUAAUUAGGUUUUCAAAGAUCAAAUAAACCAUGAAGAAGACGAAUAAAUAAAGAACACUAAAAGAGAAAAAGAAAAUCAUGGCGCGGGUCGAGAAGGGGUGGUUGCUACGACCUCACCUUGGCCUUCGUUCGAUCGUCUCGUCUCGUCGGCGUCGCCGGUUGCGCUGCAACCUGCUGCGGCGGAGCACGCGGAAGCGGUGGGCACUUCUCCAUCUCCUCGGGGAGAGGCGCCAGCUUAAGAUGGUGUUUGGUUGUUGGGGAUAAAAUGGAGCUAAAUUUUAGUCCCUCUUAAAAAAAUAUAAGUCCCUAUUAUAGGGACUUAUAAUUUUCCCAAACAGCCCCUAAGUGCUUCCUUCUCUACUAAGCUGGGCCAAGAGAAUAGGCCCAUGAAGAUUAGGGCUUUCUAUCCUUCUACUGUACUUUUUUUUUCCAAAUUAGAUUUCUUUUCUGGUUUUACAGGCUUCCUAUAUAUUUUAGGCUGCCUAUAUUUUAAGGGUAGAGAAUUACAAAGUUGACAAAUACUUAUACAAUUAUCCUCACCAAUAAUGUUAUUGCUAAUAUGUUUUGGUCUUACUUCCUUCGAUAAUAAAUCUUUGACGUUGAUGAUAAAUUUUGAAUUGGAAAUCUUAUUAUGUUGCGUUCGAUAUUUUGCACAAAUUUAUCAAACUAAUAAAAUAACUAGGGGAUUUUCCCUUAAAAUUUUGUGCAAGUAUAUAUAAUUGAAAUAUAAUUAUGGAUACAGUAUUUGUAAUUUCUACUCCAGCGGUCCCUAAGUCAAGAUGCAUGGCCAAAAAUAAGGUGUUUUAGGGGGGGUGGAGGUAGUACAAUAGUAGAUUUACAAAGUAAAUUUGAAUCAUAUACAACUCCUAUACAACUCCUAGCACACCGGCGAGCUGGCGCCCGGCUAGUGGCCAAAACGACCCGGUGUGCUAGCGGCCAAAAAUCCAAUAAUCUUAUAAAUUCAAUAUCUUCCCAACCGUAAAUCCGUUUGACUCCGUUCAACUUCCAAAAUUCCUCAAAUCUCGAGAUCUAUCUAAUGGCACGCUUAGAGGUCAUUAAUAGGGCUUUAUUUUCGCCGUUUGUUGAGUUGUCCCAUUUUGCGUGUAGUUUCGGAGCCCGAAGACCCGCAGUGCGAGGAUUUCGAGGAUCAAGCUCAAGAUCUCGAGCGAGGCAAGCCACCUUUGAAUAUCUUGAGCCUAUAUUUGAACUUAAUUAUGUUGCUUGAAAAAUAUUAUGCAUUGAUAGGAUCACACUUAAUCUGCUUGUCCCGUCUGCAAGGCAGAUUGGAGGACCUACCUAUUUGUUGCAUUUGAUCCUUCCUCUGUUAAUUGUUAUACCAUGUUUCCUUGUAACCACCUAGUCACGCCUCGGAAAUCGUGCACUCUGCACAAGUAUCGACGGUCGCCUUCAAACCUAAAAUCUGAGUAACUUCUUGGGUAAAACUUGGGUUUUACAAAAGACUUGGAAAACCCGACACCUGGGUCGGUGCUUGUGAACUAAAUGAAUUUCCAAAACCGCGGACCGGGGAACGUACCGGGUGUACGGUUUCCCGCUCUUGCACUUAAGGACCGUUUCCUUGGAAUUUCAUCCGAACUUAAGACAAGUACGACCACAUGGGUGGAAUGGGACACCCCUGGCUGAGUAACUAGCUUAUCAGGGGAGCCUUGAUGCCGAGAGACAUGUGGAUUCGCCGGGGUGGUGUCGGGGAGGACCCCCGGGCUUCCUGGCACAGUAUGGUCUGGGACCUAACCUGUUGUUGGUCUGGGACCCCUCUCGUCGGCAUAUGGUAAACCUGUGUCGGCUUUCGAAAUGCCUUGUCAUGAAAGCUUGGAGGUCUCCCGACGUGGCUGAUCCCCACGGGCUGGGUGAUCCGGGUUAGUAAUAUCGUGUGGGUAAAGUGUACCCCCUCUGCGGAGGUGAACAAACUGUUCGAACAGCCGUGCCCACGGUCAUGGGCGGAUGUGAGGUGAUUCCUAGCGUAGUUUUGUUUGACUACUGCCUUAUGAAAUUGCUGUUGUGGAAAGGGGAUCGAUGUUUGGAAAAUCUGCAGCUGAUGGGAUCAGCUAGGCCCGGGUGGCCGUUUGAAAGUUGUUGGCCCGGGUGGCCGUUUGAAAGUUGUUGGCCGGGUGCCAACCUUGAAUCAAUUCAAAAGACUGAUACAUUGCACAUACUCCGACCGGACGAGACGCAUUGUCUCAUCCGUGUCGUUUGAGAAGCACUCACUUAGUUGAUUUCAGAAAAGAGUUCAAAUAAAAUCAAUUGCAAAAACAACAGCCUUUCCUUGAAGCCUGCAUUAAACACUUAUUUCCCGUGGCUUGCAGAGUACUCCCGUACUCACCCUUGCUCUAUAUAAAUAAUCCCCCCAGUUGCUGAAGAAGAUGAAGCGGAUCCCGCUGACGAGGAGUUCUUCCAGGAGCAAGCCGGCUACGAUGAGUUUUAGGGUUUCGGCCUAGUUCCCAAGUCGCGCCUGUCGGUGACAUGGGGCCGGGGGUAUCGUGACUAGAGGCUUGGGUAGCCGCGGUCACCCACGUGGCCUGACCCCCUCGGGGGGGGGGGGGUCGGGCCCGACGGUCGUGGCCACCCCUCCCUCUGUCUCCCCGAGGGGUCGGGCCGCUCCCGUUUCGGCCCCGAGGGCUGGGGUGCCCCGACCCCUUGUGGUUUUGGCGCCACGUGUGUGGGUUAGGUGAGCACAGCGGGCUCACCUAACCGCAUUUAUAGCAGGUUGGACGAGCGCGCCACGCCGCAUUUAAUGCGGCGCAGCGCACGCUUAUCCGGUCCGUGACCAGUCGCGGUGUGUGACCGGUCACAUACCGGUCAGAUCGCGGGUUAGGUGGCAACAGGCGGCCUGUCACACGCCUCGCCCUGUCCCGUCGGAAUGAUGAGAGCUUCCUGGCUCUCGUCCCUAGCCGGAGCCGGCGUGCUAACUCCUGGAGUUGGUAUGUCAGUCCCGGUCAGAUCCAUUCCAGGCUUCAGCGCAAGUAUGGCAAGGAAGUCGCUGGCCAUUAAAUGAAGGUUGAAAUGGGCGUCCACCGAAAAAGGGGCGAGCAGAGCAGGAGACGUGCGCUCUGCUUGUCAGAGGUCACUUCCGGCUGUAGACUAGCCCUCAUUGUAAAAGCAUGUUUCCUUUCUUAGGUGGCGAGAGGCCCUUGUGGUGACCCUUGACCAGAAAAAAAGGAGGCCCAGGCCUAGGAAGAAAAGGGAGAGGAAAAAAAGAGGAGAAGAGAGGGGGCGAACGGGGCUAGAGCCUGAACUCUCUCUCGCUCUCCGGCUCUCUGUAUUCCUUCACUCACAGAUCCACCAGAACACAGGAGUAGGGUGUUACGCUUCUCAGCGGCCCGAACCUGUCUACGUCGCCCGUGUCUUGCGCAUUUCUUCUCUCGCUGACGUUCCUCAGAUCGAGGGCGAAGAACCUCACUUAGCGCCCCCGGCCGAACCGGUAAAGGGGGGCCUGCGCGGUCUCCUGGUGAGGAGCCCCACGCUCCGUCAGCGCCUGUGAUGUUUGGUCCAAGUCUUGGCUUCCGCUUCCCUUUUGUAAUGCAGUUGUGAGCUCGGGAUCUGUCCGCAGCCCAACAUGACUGUACUCCUACUCUAUAAUAAACAAACCUCUAUUGCUGUGAUAUUCUGUCUUCCUGUGAUACCAGCACUGUUUCCUGGGACCGGUAUCGAUUAACAGGUUAAUUUGGAGCGUCACGGGCUAGUUCCGGUCGGGACUAGUUCGGGGCGUGACAAUACGACAUAUAAAAAUUGUUAAUAAAACACCAAAUAGAAUCCUAAUGACGAUUAAAAUGAGGGACGACGGGCAGGCCGUAAAGCAAACGGGCAAGGCGGUUGCCGGGACUUCUAGAAAGUAAAAAAAUAAACCCCAUUGAUAAUCAUAUUUGAUUUUUAAAAUCUCAAUGACAAUAAAAAGGAGAAGUAGCGGGCGGGGUGAAUAGGAGUAUAGUUGCAGAGCCGCCGAUGGUUGGCGGGACUUCUAGAAAAUAAAAAAUGAAUUCCAACGAUAGUUAUGUUCGAUUUCCAAUGAAGAGGUCGUAGAAGAGUAUAAUGGCAGCGUUUGACAGGACUUCUACAAAUUAUAAAAACGAAACCCAAUGAGACAAUAAACUCUAAAAACUAUAAGAUCCAAGUUUUAAAGGUUGCAAGGAGAAUAAAUAGAAAUAGUGGUAGAUCGAGUAAGAAAAAAAAGAAGGAUAUGACAGAAGUAAGGGGUAGCAGCUGGUGUGACUUUUAAAAACUAUAUAAUUAGAAAUACAAGGAUAAUAAGGUUUGGUCUUUCAAAGUUUUAAAAUAACGAGAUAGUUUUUAAUAAAUUUUAAGUAAAAUCAUAUUGAAAAAUAUAUGAUUUCGUUUGGGUGCUAGCCGCGCAAUUACGCGGGCCACCAGCUAGUUUAUUUAGAUGUUCACGUUUGCAUCUCGCAAAUGCUGCCGUAUCAACCACGUGGUGACGACUGACGAGGGCGGGCUAGCUUUCCAGUGGGCCACAACUGGGUUGGGAAAUGAGUUCCAUCCCGAAUUUGGUUUAAUGGACGGUGAGGGUUAGGCUGGGCUGGAUUAGCUAAAGCUAAAGGGAGUUUGACUGGGCCAACAAUUUUGUUUCAGUUUCUUGGUCACCGAUAUCGCCAUUGGCUCAACCCGCAUUGCCCUCGACGACUUUUGCGACAUGCCAUCGCGAAAAACCCUAAAACCAGUUCCGAUCUUAAGAUUCUGAUACAGGCAUGGAAUCCAUGCCAUGGAUUGAGAGGCUGGUCACAAAUCACCACGAAGAAAAGGGGAAGGGGCUUUUUGGGCAAACGUGCUCCUAUUCUGACGGCAGUAGUCGGCGAGUGCGGAGAAGACGACGACGACGAUGCCUGUUUGGAUGAGGACGAGGCAAAUUCUGUGUGGCUCCGAGUAGAAGCAGUGGAUCACCAAAUGAGGCCCAGCCCUCAAGCACACGUUUAUCAACCAAGUGAUAUUUGACAACCCCUUGACCAAAUUAAAAAGGCCCAUUAAAGUUUUCCGUAUAAACAACAUUUUCCGCCGUCAAGUUUUCAAUGAUUGAAGGAAAGCAGAAGCACAACGAGCCCGGAAGGAGUAUAUUUUUCAGAGAACACAAAUCAGUAAGAUGCUCAGGAUUUCGCAUCUACGUUUUCAGGAAAAACAAAGCAUCUCGCCAUGCAGUUUUUCUUUAGCUGAAAGGCAAGACCAGCUAAUUGCCAAGUAGAAUCGUGCUACUCCUGCAUGUUUUUUUCUUUUGGUUGUUUGGCAAUCUAGGAGACCGGAGCUGCUGCCUCCCCAAUGCCAAAGGAUAUGUACCUACCUUUGCACCCAAGAACUCACCAUGUGCACGCACACCCUGUUGCUUUAUUCCUGGGCAUACCACUGCUGAUCUCAACGAGUGCUCUGCCAGCCUCUGCUUUUCAUUUCUCCCUCAGCCCAAUCAUCAAUUAGAUGAACAGAAUAUGAAAUUAUAUGCUAGUACUCCUACUAAUUAAGUGAGCUUUGCAAAUUGCCUUGCGUAAAGUCAAGGGAUCAUUUGCAGAGUUGAACAGCUCAAAACCUCGCCUCAAGGUCAAGGGUCCUCAGGACCUCAAGGACCAUGUAAAUGGAUGAGCUCCUGCGUGAAACCAAUCAGGGCCACCACAUGGAAGGUUGUUGGAUUCAGACAUUCAGUUGGUGCAAUGAACUGAAAGUCUGAAACUCUGUCCGAGCCGAUGCCAAUUACUAGUAAUCCUAUCAGUUGUCAUUGCCAAUUAGGAGUAGUUAGUGCUGCCAUCAUCAUGGCCUUAUGAUCAAAACGGACCGGAUAAGGCUGUAUACUUAGAAGCAUCAUGAUCGUAGGCCUACCAAAAAAAUUCUGCUUGCACAUAUUACAAGCGGAAAUAUUUGGGGGUUUCGAUCGUAGAAAAGACAAGGCCCUGUCAAAAAAAAUCGUUCGUGGCAGCUUUGCAACCCUAGAGCGACAGGUAAUGGCGUUGUCGAAGCCAGCUGUAGUGCAGAUUGCAGAAGCCUACUGUCUUUGAAUUCUCCAUCCUUUUUUUCUCUUCUUCUAUGAUUCUAUCCGUAGCACAAUUCAAUGCCCCCGUAGAUACAAGUAUACAACACGGAAAGACAAUCUAGCACGUCGCAGCAGAGAGAGAGAGGAAUCAAUCAAUGAACAAAAAGCUCACCCUGUGGACACGUGUCGGGCUCUGGAGGCCCCCAAGCGUCCGCGUCACCAAUCUCGAGGCGGCCACCGCGGAGCCCAUGCUUACAGCCUGGCACCGGUAGUGACGCCAGCCACCAGCGCAGCGCGCGCCGCUCGCUCGCUCUGCGGCGCAAUCUGUGACCCCACCUGGCAGUGACACGGCGCCUCCGCGAAACGCAACGGCUAAAACGUGGAAGGCCGCGGCGGCGUCGCGCGCGCGCGCACGUUGGGACGUCGGGGAGGGAAGCGGCCAAGGCCAAAGACGUCGUCGUGGGCAGCAGCUGGUGAAAAAAAAAAUGGCCUUCAAAAUUCGAAGCGGCGACGUUAUCGCUCUCUCGUCGUGAGCGGGGCGUCGUCGGCUCCGGUGGAUAGUCAACGGUCGACGCGAGGAUAGUUCAGGAGCGGAUAAUAGUUAAGAAAUCGUUGAGAUUUUACCGGCGUUUUUUCUCCCAGAGAUGGUUGCAAACGCAGUUGAUUUAUUAGGACUUUAGGUAUAUAUAUGUAAGCUUUUCCUUUUUCUCGCGACAUGUGGCCUUGUUUCUGUUGGCCGAUCGUGAUCAGCGUGCACUUACCUUAGGAACGGGUUUUUGAUUUUGGGAUUAAAAAUGUCCUUGAUCAGUACUACACAUGUUCUCACCUUUUUAGUUCUCAUUUCUGCACGAGUUAAGGAUAGUCAAGAUGGUUACGAUCGCAAGGUGAGUGGAUCAACCACACUCUCUGUCAUGUUAACAUCUUGCUCUCUCUCUCUUUUAUUUACUGUCAAGGCGCCGUUUACUUUGUAGGGGUCGUACUGUUCAUAUUUUUCCUUUCGUGCAUUUGACGACGACUUCUCAGCAAUAACUCGCUGCCUGAACGUGUAGUGUUAAUCAUGUUACUCGCCUACAAAUGGAACCGGAACUCUGGAAGAGAAAAAAAGAAGUAUUUGCGAGAAAGAAGAGUAGCUGGAAAUUUGAUACGGUCGUUUUAGGGUUGAAUUGAUAUCAGAUCCUAAAUUCUCUCUCCAAACCCCAUACUAAUUCGGCAGGAUAUCUUUCACGAUAAGUACUUUCCUGAUUCAUCUCCUUAUCUCAAUUAAACGAUAAAUAUCUCAAAGAAAACGUGUUGAGCGGAACCAGAUUAAACCGAAAUUCACAACAACUCCCAAAUGUCGCGCGAAAUAUACUCCAUUUUUUCUUGUUAGUACGGAACAAAAACAAACACGAAACUGGAGCUGACUGAGCUAAAGAGCAGUAAAAGAAGCGAUCCGCUUGACGGUGACUAUUACGGCCGCUGCCGCCCAGAGGCACCACCUCACCUCUCCCCUUCCACUUCGCUAGCCCGCUUGGCUUCUCAGAGCCUGGAGGAAAAAAGGAAGGUGGGAGAGGCAGCAGAGGCGAGGCGAGGGAGCGAGCGAGCGAGCGCCCGAAUCCCCAAAAUCGCAGCGCGAGAAUAAACAAAACCGAAGCGGCAGCGGGAGCAGCAGCAUCGGCGGAUACAAUAAGCAAGGGGAGCAGCAGCCACGGGCAGGAGAGGAGAGUGCGCAGGCGUGCGGGAGGGAGGAGGGGGGAAGAAGAAAAUCGCCUGCCUGCCGCCGCGGUGGUGGGUUGGUGGGUGCCGCCUCCUCCUGCUGCUGCUGCUGUUCCCCCAUUACCUCGCCCCGCUUCGCAUGGAUUCCCCCUCGCUUCUCCCCCACUCCACCCGCCGAUCCACCGGCCGGGGCAGCGCGAGGCGAUGCAAUUGAGGUGAGGUGAGACCGCCGCUUCUUCCGUCGUCGUCGCGUGGGUUUUUUUUUUCUCUCUUUGGUGCUGGGGGAUACAACAACCUGGCGGCCGCGCUGCCGCUGGACGACGCCAUCGCGCGCCUGCACGGCGUCUUGGGGUGGACGAGGCCCAGCAGCCGCGGCGGCGGCGGUGGGAGGAAGAGGUGGCCGCGCGGGGGAAAGGGGAGCGCCAUGCUGUGGGCGGCGCGGGUGUCCGGGUUCUUCUCCGCCGCCAUGGUGAUGGUGGUGCUGUCCCCGUCGCUGCAGUCCUUCCCGCCCGCCGAGGCCAUCCGGUCGUCGCAGUUUGACAGCCACGUCCGCUUCCCUGGCCAGAUCGCGGGGGGCGCCAGGGGCCUCGCCUUCCGUCGCGCCCCCGCGUUCCGCAAUGCCGCUGACUGCGGCAACGCCACCGGCAAUGUCUGCGACCCAUCGCUCGUCCACAUCGCGAUUACGCUGGACGAGGAGUACCUCAGGGGCUCCGUCGCCGCGGUCCACUCCGUCGUGCAGCACGCCACGUGCCCCGAGAGCGUCUUCUUCCACUUCCUCGUCUCCGACCCGGCGCUCGGCGACCUCGUCCGCGCCGUGUUCCCGCAGCUCCAGUUCAAGGUCUACUACUUCGACCCCGACCGCGUCCGCGGCCUCAUCUCCACGUCGGUGAGGCAGGCCCUGGAGCAGCCGCUCAACUACGCCCGCAACUAUCUGGCCGAUCUCCUCGAGCCCUGCGUGCGCCGGGUCAUCUACCUCGACUCCGACCUCGUCGUCGUCGACGAUGUCGCCAAGCUCUGGCGCACCGACCUCGGCGGCCGCACCGUCGGCGCGCCGGAGUACUGCCACGCGAACUUCACCAAGUACUUCACCGACAGGUUCUGGUCGGACAAGCAGUUCGCCGGGACGUUCGCGGGGCGCCGGCCGUGCUACUUCAACACGGGCGUCAUGGUGCUCGACCUCGCCAGGUGGCGGCGGACGGGCUACACGCGGCGCAUCGAGCGGUGGAUGGAGAUACAGAAGUCGCCGGCGGGGCGCAUCUACGAGCUCGGGUCGUUGCCGCCCUUCCUGCUGGUGUUCGCGGGGCACGUGGCGCCGAUCGAGCACCGGUGGAACCAGCACGGCCUCGGCGGCGACAACGUGUUCGGCAGCUGCCGCGACCUCCACCCGGGGCCGGUGAGCCUGCUGCAUUGGUCCGGAUCCGGCAAGCCGUGGGCGCGGCUCGGCGCCGGGCGGCCGUGCCCGCUCGACGCGCUCUGGGCGCCGUUCGACCUGUACGGCCCGGCCGACUCCGCCGCGGAAGGGUCCCGGUAACCGCAACACUAAAGAUGAUUCUUUUCCUUCUUUCGCCGACCCCGUACAAAUUUCUGAGUUCUCAAUUCUUCUCCACCAUUACCUGUUCAAACACCUACAUGUUUAUUUUUUCUUCAUUUCUUCUUUCUUUUGUUCUGUUCGAUUAAAUGCCUUGUGUUAGAUUGUUCUUGUUGGUAUUAGUGAUCUCUUCUUCCACUUUUUUUGAUCGUUUUGUUACUAAAAAAAGAGGUCAUUUGUAUCCUACUCUACAGGUUUGGAAGGCUUGCAGCCUCAGCAUCAUCAUAAAUAAAAAGCACAGAAAAAUAGACAUUGCAGCAGCAUGUGUUCUUCUUCAGUCGCUCCUCUUUCUCCCCUCUCAAUCUGUUUGUUGGCUUCAGCUUCAGCUUCACUCUCGCAAUUGAUCCACCCAUCCAUCACCAAGAAGGGUCAGCCGAUCCAAUGCAGCACCGCACACCAUCACUGCCGCCAUUGACAGGUUUUACACUAACAAAGUCUAAGUCGCAAAGACGAUCCUAAAUCGCAAUCGCGGACAAGAGUAACUUGGAAUCCACGUCUUUGUGGCCGUGCACGAACUGACACUAACAAGCAUUUCGACAUUAAGCACUUGCAGGUGAUAAUUAUAGAGGGGGGCGUUGCCGUUAAGCUCUCGAGGAUUAAAGGGGAGGAGGGGAGAGACGGAGAUAGAUGGCCGGUGGGGGCGGCCAACACGGGACCUGUGAGCUACCGCCCAAGAUCAUUUCUUUUUCUGGGGUCCUUUCCGGCGGGGCCUCACCACUUCGGCACACUCACACACCCUCUCUCGCCGCUUUAUUCUUUUGCAAAAUCAUUAUUGUGCUCCUCCUCUCACAUUGCCAAUGCCAUAUGCCAUCAAAGAUUUCUUUUCUUUAAUGUUCUUUUCUCCUCCUUUUCUUUUCGCACAAACAAAACACCCCCUCAGGCUCAUCUCACCUCAUCUUCACCACAACUCUAUAGUAGAGGCGUCAAGAACCUUUUGUUUUUUUUUUAUUGAUCAUCUCACUUUCCUUGCCAGCUCGCACUUAGCAUCGACUUGUCGCCCUCCGCUAAAUGCGUCCAACCAAAAAAUAUAAAUAUAUAUCUCCCCCCGCGACCGCGAGGCUGCGAAGAUUGUAGAAGAAACAUUUCGUGUCAUUUGGUACAUGGAAUCGUCCUCGUCGCUGGCAGGUGGGGCCAUGGUGAAGGGCACGUCCCAGCUCGGCGCGCCCGCCACACGCGUCGGUCUCCGCCCGUGCCAGGCCGCGGGCGAGCCGGGCCGGGCGCGGGUGUGGCUCGCGCGAAAGUGAUGGUCUAACCGACGGGGUUCUUUUCUGACUUUACCCGUGGCUUAAUCGCCUGCUUGGAUUCUUGCUGUGCUUGGAGUUGGAAUUGGAGUCUGUUCGUAAAUCGGAUUCGCUGUGAUGAAUCUACUCCGUUGCGUGCCUUGCGAUCGAGGUGUUGUGCCGUAUAAAUGUUUUUUUCUUUCCUUUGGUGGGGGUUCUGACAGGUACGUGCUUCUGCUGCUGAUUACUACUCGAUUUUAUUCGUAAAGCUAAAGCUAAUCAGCACCUGAUUGACUAGUUGUGUGUGUGUGUGUUUUCGUACUAGAGAGUCCGUCGCGCCUAAUGUCCUUGUCGUUCCAUUCAUGCUCUUCAAUCAAGCUCAUUCUUAAUUGCAGACGAUGCUGAUUUCUGUUGGUAGUAAUAUUGUUAGAGAAGAGGGGAGCCGUAUUUCUUUCUUUGUUUCUGUCUUUUGUACACUUUAGGUUAACAAUGCCAGUUGCUGUAUUGUAGUAUCAUCACCGAAAAAGCCACACCACCUUUAUGCCGUACCUCCGGCGAAACUGUGUCUCUUUCUCCUCUCGGUAGAAAAAGGCCCUCAACAAAAUGUUGUGUCCUUUCCGCGGAAACCCUAAAAAUGUACUACUGCGCAGUACAGAAUACCGGUGCUGUCUUUCUCCUGACCCCUGUGGACUGUGGAGUGCCGUAUUGUGAUACGCUAUUGCUCGCCCACGAUGGACGACGGAACGGAUGGAGACGGCCAUGGAGGGGGCGGCCGCCCUUGAUUGAGAGCGAACUGCGCGCCGUGGUCCUCUCGCUAGUAGUCUCUCCUCGCCGCCUGAUGCCAUUGGCAUUGGCAUGUCACGCGGCGGCAGCUCACAUCAUGGGACGCGCGGUCUUCUCUCCCGCCUCGUUCCCCG